UAGUGGGUCUCCCCAAAAUUUCAAUAUUUUCUGCGGAUGAAAUUCGUAUUAGCGGGUUCUCACUUUGAUUACUACUAUGAUUUGGAAUUUUCUGACUGGUCUGGCAAUUUUAAAAUCUGGGUUUGCAUUUUCAGCAUCUGGGUCGGUUGAAUUUUUGAAUAUUUCAGUCGUAGCUUUCUGGGUACUUGGUGUAACUGGAAGUCAUGUAAGAAGUUAGUAGCUUAUUUUAAUAAUUUUGGAUAGGGAUUAUAGGGACAAUCCAACAAAUAAUGAACUAGGUUAUUAUUAUUAUUUCUCUCAGAACUGCAAUUUUGAAUUUCUUCGCUGUCUCUUUAUUUUGCCGGAGGUAUUGGGCGAGAUCGUAACUCAUUCUGGGUUUCUUGAAUUCCGUCCAUUUUUCUUGAUGUAUUUAGUUUGUAGACAUGAAGAGGGAUGGUCUCACAAACAAUUAUUAUUAUUAUUAUUAUUAUUUCAAAUUUGGGAUGCAACUUUGCAAGAGGGAUCAACAGCCUGUUUGGAUUCUGAAGGCUCAAUCAAAUUCCUAAAGCCGAUGAUCUUUGAUCAAUUGUUUCUGUAAAAGAGAAUUUUUAUGAUGUCUUGGUUCUGCUGAUCAUGUGAGCAUGAGUUGCCAUUGCAAGUGGGCAUCAGACGGAGCUGUUUAGGAUGGGGCAUACUCAUUUUCUUGUGACUGGAGAUGUUUACUGGAGAGAUUACGUUGAUUCGACUCAUUAUCCUGUAUUUUAUCAGGGGGAAGGAGUUUGUCUUUUUUCCUGGGGGGAGGUGUCUGGUACAGAUGCCACAUGUUAUGCAGCUGAUGAUUGUGUUGUGGGUUAUGCCACUAUUUGCAAAAUUUAGGUGAAAGCAUGUGUCAAGAGAAAGCAAACCUAAUAAUAUCAGAUGAUGCCAUGGUGACAAAUAUGGUUUGGGAAUUAUUCAUCGAGUUGAAUAAUUUUGGAUCUAGGAAUAAAUCAGUAUAAGUUAGUGAAAAAAAAAGUACAAAUAUAUUGGGAAAAUCAGUUCAUGUUAGAAAAAGAAAAUGCAAUGUUUUACAUUCUGGAGUUAAAUCAAUAGAAUUCAUAAUAGUUAUGGAGUAUUGAUAUCCAAGAUAUUUGUGAGAAUAAUCACAAAUCACCUAAAUAGGUAUGACAAAACUGGGUUUGGUACAGUGAAUAAAAAUGUGUCUUUAUGGUUAUUAUUUUCUUCGAAUUUAUGAAAUACCAUGUUGGGGUUUUUAUUUUCUGAAUCACCUUUAGAUAAAUUUGUCAAAUUUUUCAGUGAUAUCAAAAUGCACUUGAUUGGUACAUAUUUCCUAUUCUCCAGGCUGUUAUUUGAACUUGAGAUAUAUUUUCAAGUAUACUUUAUAAUUUUGUUAUUUUUAUGUGAUCAUGCAUUUAUUUCCCGUUUUCUUUAAGCACUUUAAAUGAACUACUUUUCUGGAGAGUUUGCUCCUUUUUUCCACCUGUUUGAUCCUUUACUAGUCCUUUUGUCAAAGGGUUAUUUUACCUUUUGCAAACCAUGAAGAAGAAUUAAUUUACUUAAGAAAGUAAAGUGAGUUUUAUUUUGUUUGGUGAAAUGUCUAACUUUUGUGUACUGCAAAAAGCAAAACUCAGUGCUUGAUGAAUUCUAAUUCUAGUAGGAGCAAUAUUGAUAGUUAAAAAACAGAAGUAUAAAAAUGGAAAGAAUAGUAAUUUGCUGUUGUGUAGGUGAUGCCAAUUGACCUUUUGCUAGCUGCGAUAUCUGGAACACUUUUCCAAUGAUUGGGGUUUUUAGAAACAUUAUUAUUAUUAUUAUUAUUAUUAUUUUAUCAGAAACCUAAUAGAUCUUUUCUAUUAACUAAAAAGAUCAAGAAGGACAAGACAUCCUUCCACAAUGUAGAAUUUAGAUCAAGACAAGGGAAUGGAUUCCUUUACCCAUACCCAUAUGGUUGAACAAAUGAGAUAGAUUACAAAAAGUGAAACAACAUUUGGAACAAAAAUUAGAUAAGAUUCAAGGAGGCACAUAAUCUCCAAUAAAAGAUACCAGUUGCUUAUGUCUGACACUGUUUUAGAUUGUUAGGUACCAACUCCAUUAGAUAUGCAAAAGAAUGAGUUUUAUGUGCUUAUGUAACUAUUUUCCAGGACCUGUUGUGGGAGAUUUGCUUCAUAAGUAUGAUUUAUGAUGUAAGGAUGCUCAAGGGCACAUGUUUUGUGGAUUAUAUUAUGGCCAGCAUUUUUGGCUUGAUUGCUGAAGAAAAAUUCAUAAAUACUUUAGCAUACAAAAUCCUACAAAUAAAUCUACACAUGUACAGAAAUGUUUUCUACUUGUUGCAUGAAUAAUUUAGAUCUCUCUAGAUUUAGGGAGUUUCUGUUUCUAGAACCCAUGUUCAUGAUAAAGAAUGACAUGCGAGAUCUUGUCUGCAUCCAUAGGUCAUAGUUCGGUAGCAACACUUGCUGUUCAAAAAUCUUCCUCCCUAUUGUGAACAAUGUGUUAAGUUUAAUGAUUGGCCUAUACAUGUUUUGGUAUGGAUUGUUAUGGUUUAACCUAACAAACAAGAGAUUCUUGUGUGAAAGGAGUGCUGUGCUCCCUAAUAUGAUGGUAAAGCUAUGGUUGAUUCCUGGAAAGUCUGAGGGAAAGAAAAUAAGGAGAAAAAUAGGAAGAAAGAAAAAGGUAAGAAAAAAUUAUAAAUUUUUUCUUAUUUUUGAUUGUCUAUGGAAAAAAAAAAGGAAAAGAAAAUUAAAUUCCUUGAGUGAUGCACUUUCCCAAACUUUCCUUACCGUCUUUCAAGUAAAAGGAGGAAAAUCUUUUGCCAUUCCUUCCCCCUUCCUUGCCUUUUUCCAUAGUAUCCAAACAUAAGAAAAUUACUAUCCUUGACUUUUUUUUUCUGUGCUUAGCACUUUUUCAAGAACUAAACAUAGGCUAAAAAUACCUUCUUUCACUUUAACCUCAAGGAACAGUUACAAUAUAUUGCUGUAAUAAGCACUAUAGACAUGGGUGCUCUAGUGUUGUGUAUAUACAUAAGCAUUGGAUUUUUUUUUUUUAUAGACAAUAAUCAUUAAACUUGUUAUUCACUUGCAUGAGAGAAGUACACAUUUGGAAGGAUUUGUAGUACCUUUUUUUUUUAUUACCUUUCUCACCUUUGCUGAAAAUAACAACUUUGGUAUAAAGAAAAGAGUCUUGUGGAAUAAUAUAAUAAAAUUUUCUUUGCUAGGGGGUGUGCUAAUAUGUGGGCUAUUUUAGAGCUAUCUAAAACAACAUAUACAUCUCUUUACUUUUGGGAGGUUAUUCAUAAUCAUAUUUUAUAUUUACCUCAAUCUCAUGAUAAUGGAAACUUUGUGAUAGAUUUUUCAGAUUUUGAUUUUUUUUUUUGACAUAUGAGAGCUGAAUCAAGAGAUGACUAAUUGUAAUUUUAGGGGUAGUAUAUUUUAUAAUUUGCCUUCAUGGUGGGUUAAUGAGUUUUGUUUUAUGAUGGUAAAUAGUUAUGCAGUCACAUUUAGUAUUUUCAAAUCUAUGUUUAUAACUUGAAAUUGUUUUGCUAGUAAAUUAUCGUUGUGGAGUUAUUGCAUUUGUAUUUUUCUUUUUAAUACUAGUGCAUAUAAUUCUGCAUCCAAUCUCCAAUAAUUUGUCCAGGGAAAUGGCUAGAAGUUUUGGGUUGUGUGGUGGCAAAGCAAGAAAUAUGAAAGAAGAUUGGUAAAUCAAAUAAUAUUGCUUGAGCUUAUGCUAGAUAUUUGGCUUUUCUGACUGUUAAGCUGUCAGUUAACCUAAAGUUUAAGUUGUUUGAUAAUGGACCAAAAAUGUAUAUUAUGCCAAUUUUCACUUGGUGUAAAACUCUAACAUCCCACCUCAUGGUCCUUGUUUGGGUUAUUAGGCUUUCAUGUGCGCUUAAUAAAAAAGGGAAAUUAGACAUCAGUGAGGUUCAAAUCUAACUCCAUGUUAAGCUUCCAAUUAUCCUAAAAGCUUUUGCUUGGGCUUUAACUCAAGUAUAAAUUGCCAUGAUAUACAUGGUUAGCAUAUAAUCUACCAAUUUAAACUUUUAGGUUAAUUGGUAGUUUAACAUGGUACUGGAACCUUGUUUUAUGGGAGGUCAUGAGUUUGAAACUCAUUGCUUGCUUAUUUCCCCAAUGUGUUGAGCCCACUUAUGAUCCCAAAUAAGGUUGCUCUCUCUACCUGUGAAGUGGAAUGUUAGGUUACAGCCCAAAUAAGCUUCCUUGAGAUGUAGUGUUAGGGUUGUAGCCCAAAUAAGACUAAUAUACAUUGUUGGUAGACUAUUUAAUAGUGCUGCCCAUGAGGUGGGUUGUACCCAAAUAAGCUUGAUAGACAUUGUUGACUUACUACCUCAUAGGGCUGCCUGAUUGUGGCCUAAAUGAGCUUCACUACCUAACAACUUAAACUUUUAGUUAUUUGUUUUCUCCUCCUUGUAUGUAUGCCUAAUGUGUUUUGAUUAAUCAUUUUGAAAAUUGAAAUACCUUAGAAAAAUAAAUGGUGGUCAAAAUUGACAUUCUUCCUAACAUGUAGUGCACCUGAAUGGACUUUUUAUUUGCAAUUUUCCAAGGACCAGCUUUUAAGUUCAAGCUAUUCUCAAAGAUAUCAAUUGUGUAUUUUUAAAGCAAAUAAUAUUAUUAUCUUCUUUGGAGGCCCAAAUAUUUUUGAAAUGUUACAUAGGUUUCCACAGCAGCUGUUUUGUAGGUUUACAUUUUUAAGUAUUAGUAAAGCAAAAUCCUUGAGAGAAAUUUUCUUUUCACUUCUGUCAUCAAAAGGUUUAUUUUGAUGAAUUCAUUAACUAGGUUCCUAGACAUAGCCACUCAGAACUUAUUCAUUUGAACUGAGUUUUUUGUCCUUGUGCAGUGUCCACCUUGCUACAAAGACAUGAGUUUUCGGAUUAAUAUAUAAUUCACUGAAAUAAUUUAUGUGAACUUGUCAGAGGGAUUGCUUGGGAUCUUGUUGAGGAGGUAUGUUUUCUGAUUUUUUGAAUUUUGCUCUGGAGCUGUAAAUUUUGUUCAGUGGACAGUGUUCUCCCAAUGAUUUUUGUAGUUUGUUUUGCAGAGUUUCUUUUAAUCAAUUUUGAAUAGGUUAUUGAGGGCAUGUUUGGGUAUUGCUCUAUUUUCUCGUUUAGCUAUUGAUGCGAGGUUAGCUUCCCAUAUUCCCUGUAUUGAUAAAUUUGCAGCGGCUCAUGCUGUGGAGAUCUGGAAGCUAAUUGUGGAUCACUUCUGUUCUUUCCAUUCUGGUCAUUUUAUUUGUUUAAGGCCAUAUAUGAUCACUUUUAAUUUCGUAAGUGACAUCAUAUUUUCAACUCUUCACUUUAGUUUGUGGUGAUGAUAUCCUUUUCUGUAAAUUCACCAUUCUAGAAGAUGUUGUGCCAACAUGUACUGUAGACACAAAAGAAAUUCAAACAUGUUCUGACUGCUGAUGUUAAAAGGUGAAAAGCUAGAAGUGAAUUGUCGGCAACAAGUCAUCUGUUCUAGGCCUAAAUAAACUGAUGGAUGCAUACAUGAAAGUUAUGUGAAUUCUGUAGUAUAAUUGUAAGCUUCUCCAAUCUUGGUUACUCACCAAGAACUAAUUCUCUUUUCUCAAACUGGUUUGUGUCUAUGACAUCACUUUUUGUCUGUGAGAAAGUGAGGAGGUUGUAAGAAAAUCUCUUUAAAUUGAAAGAGGUUAAAUGGCAAUUUCUGUUGUUGAACUGGCUAGCUAGCCAAGGGUGUACAAAAAUAUAUUUUGAUGGGUAACUUUAUUUAUUUAUUUAUUUUUUGGUGUCCUACUGGGACUUGAACAUGGAACCUCCCACAUCCCCAUUCCAAGCAAUUGGCACCUGAGUCAAGCCUCAAGGGCAAAGGGUGUACGAGAAUGUUCAAUAUUGUUACCAUUUUUUUCCUUGUGAGAGGUUACUUGUUGCCUUCAUUAAAGAUUGCUCUUGCCAACACUUUUUAGGGUAUCUGAUGUUCGAUUGCAGAAGGCCAAUAUUAUCCAUUUUUCCCUGUGGGUUGAAACUAAGUUUGUUUGGAAGUUCUUCUGAACUAGUAAUACAUAUUUUAUUGCCAAGUCUGAUUGAUAGACUAGUUCACCGAGAAGAACAGAAUGACGAGCCACUAUUAUAGGAUUGCAUAUAGGUCUAUGGAAUGUGCAUUUGCAGAAAAUAAAUGAGCUAUAGAUAUUUUAUAUGAAAGGAAAUUUCAUUGAAUUGAUGCUUUUGUGUUGGAAAAUCAGAAAAAAAAAAAAAAACAUCAUUUCUAAUCAAUUAUUGCAGCUGCAGUGGAAUGCAAAAGAAUGAGUUCAAAGCAGGCUGAAUGAUGUUCUUUGAUGAGUGUCUCUGGUUCAUGGGAUCCCCUUCUGCAACUUAUGUCAUGUAAAUUUCUUUUCCUUUCCUUCUUUGAUAAAAAAUUAUAAGGAUUUACGUUUUUCUCUUGUACACAUUGUUUUAAUUGACAGAAGUUCACACCAUCUGCUGGUACCUAGUGUGAACCCUUGUACGCAUCAAGGCCAGCCCCAAAACCCCAGUUUAAUAUUUGACAUGUGAAUCGGGAGCCAGCUCUAACAAUCCAAGAACUCUAGUAACAUAUCUUUUUUUGAAAAAGUUGUAUCCAUUUGGUCAACGUGUGAUUCUAAAGCAGUAAAGACUACCAUCACAAUUUUCCUUUCUAAUGUUUCCACAGAUUUUUCUGAUGAUUCUAUUUGCAGAGACCUUAAUGGUUGAAAUUGGGAAUUUAAACACUUGGCCAAACUCAAUGGAUGAAGAUCUUCGCUGAUCCUAUGAUUUAUUACUCAAAUGCCCGGUCAGUAAGCUCUGUAACGAUAAUCCAUCAUACCUGUGUGAUAAUAAAUCAUCAUAGCCAUAUUUUUCAGGUCAUACAUUUCUUUCCUUUCAUUUUUGUUCUCGUUAUUUUAUUUCCCUUUGCUAAAUGGAAGUCAGGGAUAAACGAUAGAUGUUAAGGCUCAUCCAUCUUUUUUUUUGUCCAUUCUGGCCUGGGUUUGGGCCAGGCAUUGAGGUCUGCCUCAAGAUCUGUGCAUUAUUGGUUGAUUGUAAAUUAUGCAGCUAGGAACAGUGUUGAAGAAACAGAAUAAUUGGAAACUGGGUUUUAUAAUAAACUAGUUUAUCUCUUUUA